rnacentral:ncRNA from 1 species
GUGAAAUGCAACAUUACUGAAAAGUAAUUUCGCAAAGCUAUAGGGUCUAAGGCAUCAGUGCUAUGACAGCCAGUUACCGC